rnacentral:snRNA from 1 species
UCGCUUUGGCAGCACAUAUACCAAAACUGGAACAAUACAGAGAAGAUUAGCAUGGCCCCU